rnacentral:rRNA from 1 species
GACGAACGCUGGCGGCGUGCUUAACACAUGCAAGUCGUACGGAAAGGCCCCUUUGGGGGUACUCGAGUGGCGAACGGGUGAGUAACACGUGAGUAACCUGCCCUUGACUUCGGGAUAACUUCAGGAAACUGGGGCUAAUACCGGAUAGGAAUCCUUGCUGCAUGGUGGGGGUUGGAAAGCUUCGGCGGUUUUGGAUGGACUCGCGGCUUAUCAGCUUGUUGGUGGGGUAGUGGCUUACCAAGGCUUUGACGGGUAGCCGGCCUGAGAGGGCGACCGGCCAAAUUGGGACUGAGAUCCGGCCCAGCCUCCUCCGGGAGGAAGAAGUGGGGAAUAUUGAAAAAUGGGCGGAAGCCUGAUGAAGAACCGCCGGGUGCGGGAUGACGGCCUUCGGGUUGUAAACCGCUUUCAGCAGGGGCGAAGCUUUUGUGACGGUACCUGCAGAAGAAGCACCGGCUAACUACGUG